rnacentral:lncRNA from 1 species
AUGCAUAAGGUUGUGGGUGAACUACAACUCACAUCAUGCCAGGUGAACCCCCAGAAACUCCACCAGUACUUAAAGUUUGUUAUGUUGGGCAGGUUUUCUCUGGAUGCAUCAUCAAUGGGGUUCAGCAUGCUCUCUGGCUGUAGGGUGAACUACAACUCCCAUUAUGGCCACCACCGAACCUCCCAAAAAGAAACCGGAUCCGGUCACUUCGGAGACAGUGGUGAUCUGGGGCCUGCGCCUCUGGCAAGUGGUUGGGAUAUUUGCCCUUUUUGUCAUGAGCGUCAUCAUCACGUUGUGCUGCAUCUUCAAGUGCCGCAUCCCCAGGACCAAGAAGGAGAUCGAGGCCCGCUACGCCAAGCGCCAGGCGGCCAAGAAGUAUGCCAACAAACUGGAGUCGGUGCCGCCCCUCAAUGAGCUCACCGAGAUCCCGGGAGGCUCCACUGAAAGCCUUCCUACUCUUUCCGGCCAAGUCGAAUCUCGAACCCAGAACUCCCUGCCAGCAGUGAAGGAGGAAGAGGAAGUACCCCCUCAGGGCCACUAGGGGGCAGGCUUGGCUUACUUUCCUGAUGAUCUCAUUCUUGUUUUCAUCCCACUUCCAUCCUUUUUUUCCUUCUGUCCUUUCUUUGGUUGUGUCUAUACCAGGCAUGGGCAAACUUGGUCCCUCCAGGUGUUUUGGACUCCAACUCCCACCA